GUGGGGAAUAUUGGGCAAUGGGCGAAAGCCUGACCCAGCAACGCCGCGUGAGGGAAGAAGGCCUUCGGGUUGUAAACCUCUGUCCUUGGUGACGAAGAAAGUGACGGUAGCCAAGGAGGAAGCCCCGGCUAACUACGUGCCAGCAGCCGCGGUAAUACGUAGGGGGCGAGCGUUGUCCGGAAUUACUGGGCGUAAAGGGUGCGUAGGUGGCCUUUUAAGUUGGAUGUGAAAUACCCGGGCUUAACUUGGGGGGUGCAUCUAAUACUGGGAGGCUAGAGUGCAGGAGAGGGAAGCGGAAUUCCUAGUGUAGCGGUGAAAUGCGUAGAUAUUAGGAGGAACACCAGUGGCGAAGGCGGCUUUCUGGACUGUAACUGACGCUGAGGCGCGAAAGUGUGGGGAGCAAACAGGAUUAGAUACCCGAGUAGUCC
rnacentral:rRNA from 1 species